AAAAAUAUAUGUGAAUAAAUGAAAUAGGUAUAUUUUUUCAUGCAUAUGUGAAGAAGAAAGAUACUCAAUGUGCUCUUUAGGAGUAAAAAAAUCACGAUAUAAACAGAUAUAAUGUUACUGCAGAAAACUUUGAAACUUUUAAGAAAAGUUCCAGGAUGAAAUGUUGUUAUGAACUGUUAAACUCCACUCUCUACUCACUGCUCUGUGACUUCUGGAGAACAAUUUAAUGGCCAUAGAUGAAACAGGAGGAACCUAAGAAUUUGAAAGCAAGUAACGCAAACUUCUAUCAUUUUGCCAGGUGCGUUGAGAGAGAAGCCUUCAGGGUUAAACCCUGAGUGCAGCUAUAUCAGGAAAACCCCACACUUCCCUGAUUCCUUCUACUGAAAGCACAGUCCAUUUAUUUACACAGUAAAUUCAGGAUACAACUGAAACUCUAAAUUUUGAAGGUUAGUUCGCAAGCCAUGUUCUGUAACAGCUAUGGCUCUCUCUGAUGACCUCAUGGCUUCCUUUGAAAUCCUUUCAACUAAACCCAUUUCAGUUCUCGACAAUCUGUACUACAUAUGCCAUAAAGCACAUUCAGGGAGCAAGAGGCUGUAGAAAGAACAAGGAAUUUCCAGAGUUGGAGGGGGCGGGGGGAAUUCCAAGAAUAACACUUCAAAAAGAAGAUAGUAGAAACUACUUCCCAAAAUGCAAAAUGCACACAUCAUGCCUCAUUUGAAUCCAGAUAAUUCAGUUUGAGGAUCAAUUAAGGAACACCUACUGUGCCUAGGGAAAGAAAAGGGCAUUGGAGGACAAACAGCACCCUGUGGGCUACAGUCUGAGAAGGGCCGGUGAGCCUUCCUCUCUACCUUCAGGGAGUACUUCUACCGUAGAGCAUUCUAUAUGCUCUCAGAAGCCGUUUCUCUGGCUCUGGGCACAGCCUUGAUCUCCGUCACACUUCAAGCCAGCGUUGUGGAAUCCUUCCAAAUCCUGCCUGGAACGGUUAAGUCAUUUUGUUUGCAUCGCUUCUAAUGCAUGUUGUUGUUUGAAAAAUCUGAACUGUAAUAAAAGAUGGAAGCCAACAUCCUCAAGGAACAGGAGAGAUUACUGAGCUCGUCCACCUCUUUGAGGGAAAGCUAUAAAACAUCCCCUUUUUGUGCGAUGACAAACCUCUCUUUUAGAAAUCUGUAUCAGAUACAAAAUUAAAUUAAAAAUCAAAUAUCCCCCCCAAUAAAGAUGAUGAAAAGUGCACAAGGAA